AUUGAACGCUGGCGGCAUGCCUUACACAUGCAAGUCGAACGGCAGCACGGGAGCUUGCUCCUGGUGGCGAGUGGCGAACGGGUGAGUAAUACAUCGGAACGUACCCAGGAGUGGGGGAUAACGUAGCGAAAGUUGCGCUAAUACCGCAUAUUCUGUGAGCAGGAAAGCGGGGGAUCGCAAGACCUCGCGCUCUUGGAGCGGCCGAUGUCGGAUUAGCUAGUUGGUGAGGUAAAAGCUCACCAAGGCGACGAUCCGUAGCAGGUCUGAGAGGAUGAGCUGCCACACUGGGACUGAGACACGGCCCAGACUCCUACGGGAGGCAGCAGUGGGGAAUUUUGGACAAUGGGGGCAACCCUGAUCCAGCCAUGCCGCGUGAGUGAAGAAGGCCUUCGGGUUGUAAAGCUCUUUCGGCGGGGAAGAAAUGGCAACGGCUAAUAUCCGUUGUUGAUGACGGUACCCGCAUAAGAAGCACCGGCUAACUACGUGCCAGCCGCCGCGGUAA
rnacentral:rRNA from 1 species